UCUGGUGUCUGUGUGUGGGUGUAUAUGUGUGUGUGUGUGUGUGUGUGUGUGUGUGUGUGUGUGUGUGUGUGUGUGUGUGUGUGUGUGUGUGUGUGUGUGUGUGUGUGUGAGUGUGUGUGUGUGUGUGUGUGUGUGUGUUGUGUGUGUUAGAAUAAAUAAAUUAUGUUUCUUUAUGAUGUGUUUCAUGAUCCCAAAUCUAGAAUUGAUGUUGUUUGAAGAUGCAGUGAUAGCUUCUAAACAAAGGAACCAUUUAUUUUUGUCCGUGGUGAGUGAGCCAGCCUCCACAGGUAGUAUUUUUUUAGAGCUAAAUCUUUUAUUGUAAGCUAAAUAUAAAUGUAUCAAAAUUAGUGUUUAGUGUUUCAUUUGACAUGCAGCAUGUUUUCAAGCCGUAUAAGAUGAUUAUCCGUUCUUGUCUGGAAGCUUGCCUCAACUUUCCGCAGAGUAUGGCGUGCAUGGGCAGGGGGGGAGCCUUUUAUAGUUUGCAUGGGAAUAAUGACCACAGGCCUUGAACCCCAGGGGUUGUAAACAUAAUAUCCGGAUCGCCUGGCAGCAAAACAGUUGACUGUUUUCUUGACAUGCAUCCGCAUCCUAUACUGUGAGGGACUCCUGCUACACAAACAUCAGGAAGUAUGGCCAGCCGCAGUGUAUAGGAGCAGGGCCUUUUUUUUUUUUAAGAUGUACAAUGAGGUGAGAAGAGGAAGAGAGAGAGAGAGAGAGAGAGCGCUUUGGAUUUUUGAAGCGUUUGAUGAUGUUCUAUGUGAUCGUUAGAGUUAGACUUGAAAUGUGCUGACUCAAUUUUCGUAGUUUUGGAAACACUUUUUUACAAUGUUUUUCUACAAGGCCAAGAGGAUGUGCCUUUCCAAUGGCCUUUGCGUUUCUCAAGACCUCUGGUAAAAUAAAAUUUAUUUAUUUAUUUUCAGAUUUAUUGUAAAACUGGGAUGAAUCGCCCUGAUAAACUCUUUGGAAGGACACAGAAAAUGCUUUAAUACACAAAUAUGUGAUAUUAUUAUUAGGGGUGGGAAAAAUAAUCGAUUCUUCGAUGCAUCGCGAAUCUCGCUAGAACGAUUCUGUCUCGAUGCAGAUAAAUUAAUAAUCAGAAUUAAAAAGAUGAAAAGAUUUUUCUUUUUUUUCUUUUUAUUGCCUGCUGCAACAUUCU